GUGUAGUGACAAGCUGCAGUCUACUGGGACAACGCAAGGAAGUAAUUGAAGUCUUUGCUUUUAUGGUCUCUUCCUGUAAAUGGAAAUGAAAGGGGAAAGAGAGGAGCUAAACCUUCUUCAACCUCUCAAGCUUCUGUGUUUUCUUCUACUAACUCUUCUGUCUCUCUCUAACUUCGCCUCUUCUGAAAUUUUCUUCGAGGAGCGAUUCGAAGAUGGAUGGAAGAGCCGUUGGGUGUUAUCAGAUUGGAAAAGGAGCGAGGGAAAAGCGGGUACCUUUAAGCACACAUCUGGGAAAUGGUCUGCAGAUCCUGAUGAUAAAGGUAUUCAGACUUAUAAUGAUGCUAAGCACUAUGCUAUAUCUGCAAAGAUACCAGAGUUCAGCAACAAGAAUAGGAUUCUGGUGGUCCAGUAUUCUAUUAAGAUUGAACAAGACAUUGAAUGUGGUGGUGGUUAUAUUAAGCUCCUUUCUGGUUAUGUUAACCAAAAGAAAUUUGGUGGUGAUACUCCUUACAGUUUGAUGUUUGGACCAGAUAUAUGUGGUUCACAGACAAAGAAGCUCCAUGUUAUACUUUCCUAUCAGGGACAAAAUUAUCCAAUCAAGAAAGAUCUACAAUGUGAAACUGACAAAUUAGUUCAUUUUUACACGUUCAUUCUUCGGCCGGAUGCGUCUUAUACUGUCCUAGUUGAUAAUAGAGAAAUGGACUUUGGAAGCAUGUAUUCAGAUUGGGAUAUACUUCCUCCACGUAAAAUCAAGGAUUUGAAAGCGAAAAAGCCAGCAGACUGGGAUGACAGAGAAUACAUUGAGGAUCCGAAUGAUGUAAAACCUAAGGGGUAUGAUUUGAUUCCGGCAGAAAUUCCUGAUCCAAAGGCUAAAGAGCCUGAUAAUUGGGAUGAGGAAGAAGAUGGUGUAUGGAAGCCACCUAAAAUACCAAAUCCAGCAUAUAAAGGACCGUGGAAGCGAAAGAAAAUCAAGAACCCCAACUACAAGGGUAAGUGGAGGACUCCAUGGAUCGACAACCCAGAGUUUGAAGAUGAUCCUGAUAUAUAUGUGUUGAAGCCAAUAAAAUAUGUGGGCAUUGAGGUUUGGCAGGUAAAGGCUGGUUCUGUAUAUGAUAACAUUUUGGUUUGUGAUGAUCCACAAUAUGCCAGAGAAGUUGUAGAAGAUUAUCUUGCUAACCAUAGGGAGGCUGAAAAAGAGGCUCUUGAGGAAGCUGAAAAAGAGAAAAAAGCACGGGAAGAAGAGUUUCUGAAGUAAAAGGGAAUUCUGAUUCGUAGGAAGCCAAAAGAGCGAGAGAGGAGAGUGAAAGGAGGAGAAGAGAGAGGGACAGCCGUUAUGGGGACAGGGCUCGCCGUAGAAGGCGUGAUCCUCGGGAUUACCUGGAUGAUUACCACGAUGAACUAUGAGAUGGUUGCUGUUUACCAAGAUUUUGACCAAACCAAAAGAAAAGAGGAUAAUAUCGCAUUCUGUUGUGCUGCGAAAUGCCAGCCUCAUGGUCUGCUCUCGUGUAACUUUUUUUUUUUGCUGCAGCAUUAUCUGUAACACUAACUGAUUAUCUUUCCUGGAAAAAUAAUCCAUUUCAAGCUUGAACAAUGGAAUAAUUUUUUCUGUUUCGUUCUC